rnacentral:lncRNA from 1 species
CCUAAAAACGUAAUUCAAUAUCCCCAAUUCCAAAAGACAAACAAUCUUUUCCCACCGGAGGCUUCUCCUCUUUAGAAUUUGUUGUUAUAACAUGCAUUGCAAAUUCUGCAUCUGGAACCAUAUUCGUUGGUGGGGGUCUUAGAAAUUGAUUGUUGUUCCUCAGUUGAAUAAUCGAUCGGAACUAGAGGUCUCGUCAUAUUUUCCUUGUGCGCAUCUCGCCCUCAUCUUCGUAUAACAAUUUAAUUUUGUGGAAGAAGUAAGAUCCUAUAGCAAUCAAUGAUCUCAGCUUUUGGGCUUUGUUUAUUUUUAAUGUUUUUCAUUUGCAUUUUUUGAAUUUAAGACAGCUUCAAUUGUAGUUCAGUUUCAAGGUUUUUUUCUGGACAAUGAAAGUUUCAACUGACAUUAAAUGUUGCGUAUGUAUUAAGUUGUGUUGUACUUCGAGUUUGUGGUUGGAUAUGCUUUUGUUCAACAUGUAAUUUAUGGGAAUGUUCAAAAUGGUUUGCUGUGUAAUCUUUCCAUUUGUUUAGUCAUUAGCAAAUGAUGAAUGGGGGUUGGCUACCUGUUUCUUUUUGUGAUUACUGCAGGAGCAUAGUUGUUUGAAAAAGGUAACAAAUUGGUCUCCAUUAGUUGAAGUGGAACUUAAAUGAGGAGCAAAGAGCAUGUUGGCAAUGUGAUUAGGUUUAGUUUGAACCUUAUAAUGUAAAUAAUUGAC